rnacentral:misc_RNA from 1 species
AACGCACAUUGCGCCUUAUGGUAUUCCAUAAGGCAUGCCUGUCUGAGCGUCAGCUCCCCCCCACUCAAGCACUUUUUUCUAAUCCAAAAUCGUGCUUGGAUUAUUUUGGAUGAGCAGCUGUCAAAGGCUGCUGUCCAUAAAUUCAUUGGCAGUAUGGUUUGUUCUUUCCAGGCUGAGCGUGAUAAAUUUACACUUAUACCGUUCAAUAUUGGAGGCAUUGUACUCGCCCUUAACCCACAAUAUCAAUAACUUAAGUAAAUUUUUGUUAUUUGGGUGACCUCAGAUCAGGUAGGGAUACCCGCUGAACUUAA